AUCUGGUCCUAGUGCAGUGCUGUUUACAACUAAUUAAUUACAACCGGUUACAGAUUUUGUUCCUUCUUAAUUUCCACUACUCCAGUUGGACUGAAAGAAA
ensembl:misc_RNA Y_RNA Y RNA